rnacentral:rRNA from 1 species
UAUACCGAGACCAACGAUCGAGCCAGCUUGCUGGUGAAGUGACUGAACGAGGUUCCAGGAAAAGCCACUAAGCUUCAGCUACACACGACCGUACCGCAAACCGACACUGGUGCGCGAGAUGAGUAUUCUAAGGCGCUUGAGAGAACUCAGGAGAAGGAACUCGGCAAAUUGACACCGUAACUUCGGAAGAAGGUGUGCCCUAUUAGUGUGAAGUGAACAACGGAGCAUGAAUGGGUUGCAAAAAAUCGGUGGCUGCGACUGUUUAUUAAAAACACAGCACUCUGCAAACACGAAAGUGGACGUAUAGGGUGUGACGCCUGCCCGGUGCUGGAAGAUUAAAUGAUGGGGUGCAAGCUCUUGAUUGAAGUCCCAGUAAACGGCGGCCGUAACAAUAACGGUCCUAAGGUAGCGAAAUUCCUUGUCGGGUAAGUUCCGACCUGCACGAAUGGCGUAACGAUGGCCACACUGUCUCCUCCUGAGACUCAGCGAAGUUGAAAUGUUUGUGAUGAUGCAAUCUCCCCGCGGAAAGACGGAAAGACCCCAUGAACCUUUACUGUAGCUUUGUAUUGGACUUUGAACAGAUCUGUGUAGGAUAGGUGGGAGGCUUUGAAGCAGGGUCGCUAGAUCUUGUGGAGCCAACGUUGAAAUACCACCCUGGUGUGUUUGAGGUUCUAACCUAGGUCCAUUAUCUGGAUCGGGGACAGUGCAUGGUAGGCAGUUUGACUGGGGCGGUCUCCUCCCAAAGCGUAACGGAGGAGUUCGAAGGUACGCUAGUUACGGUCGGACAUCGUGACGAUAGUGCAAUGGCAUAAGCGUGCUUAACUGCGAGACUGACAAGUCGAGCAGAUGCGAAAGCAGGACAUAGUGAUCCGGUGGUUCUGUAUGGAAGGGCCAUCGCUCAACGGAUAAAAGGUACUCUGGGGAUAACAGGCUGAUACCGCCCAAGAGUUCAUAUCGACGGCGGUGUUUGGCACCUCGAUGUCGGCUCAUCUCAUCCUGGGGCUGUAGCCGGUCCCAAGGGUAUGGCUGUUCGCCAUUUAAAGAGGUACGCGAGCUGGGUUUAAAACGUCGUGAGACAGUUUGGUCCCUAUCUUCCGUGGGCGCUGCAGAUUUGAGGAAGCCUGCUCCUAGUACGAGAGGACCGGAGUGGACACACCUCUGGUGUAUCGGUUGUCACGCCAGUGGCAUUGCCGAGUAGCUAAGUGUGGAAGAGAUAACCGCUGAAAGCAUCUAAGCGGGAAACUCGUUUCAAGAUGAGAUCUGCCGGGGCCUCGAGCCCCCUGAAGAGUCGUUCAAGACCAGGACGUUGAUAGGUCGGGUGUGGAAGCGCAGUAAUGCGUUAAGCUAACCGAUACUAAUUGCUCGUGCGGCUUGACC